CGUACACACAUACAAACCUCAUCCAAAUCCCCUUUCUCUGUCCCAAUUCUCCGUCCGCGAUACAUCGUCGUCGCUUUCCUUCGACAAAUGCGGAGAGAAGACAAAGAUUUGGAAUUCGACCGCUGGCCAAUUCGAAGCCCCAUUUGUUCUGUACUAUAUGCCCUUAGUUCUGGAAGAUGAAGGACUGAAGUAGGUGCAAUGGCUUUGAUAGCACAUCACACACAGGGUUCUUUUUCAACACAUUCACUGAGUUGUAGUGCAUCAAGUAGAAGGGCAAAUGUGAGGUCCUCGAUUGUUCAGUUGCUGUAUAAAACACGUGUUUGUGCCCCUGAAGCAUCAUUUUCAUUUUAGAUUCCUUGGUCUUACCACUUCAAUUGAAGAUCCAACCUAACUCCAUGAGGUUGACUACGUUGGGCAAAUUUCAUCAUAAAAAACAGGUUAUUAAAUAUAUGUGUACUAGCCUUUGGCAUAUGAUUUUUCAUCGUAGUCUUUUGGAGGACAAUAAAAUGAAUUUUUUGUCCAUUUUUUAUGAGUAUGUGUUUCUUUAGUAGUUUGGUAUCAUGAAAUUAAUUUUAGGUACCCAUGAAACAGUUUGUAUUAAAGCAUAUUUUGGUUGUUCAAGGUGUUGGGCGCAGAGCCAACCUCGAUUGAAGCUCCGGUCUGUCAUCAAUUUGAUGUUGGGAGAUGAGUAGGUUAGGUAGAAGAUCCUACAAAACUAAAUCAGAGGCAUGCCCGACAAAAGUCUUUCCAAAGUAGAGCUGGAGAAAUGUAACAGUUGCUUUAAAGGGUUCAAAGGGGUGUUAGGCAAGGUUCGCAAUACCGUACCGUAUCGGAGUUUCGACCUGGGCUUGGUACCGGUACGGUACGGUAUACCGCUCGGUACACCCAGGUGUACCGAGCGGUAUAUUCAGACGUGCCGAGCACUGUAGCAGUCUGACGGACCGGUACGUACCGCCCGUACCGAAAGUCUGACGGACCGGUAACAUAUGGUCCGCGUACCGAAAGUCUGACGGACCGGUACGUACCGCCCGUACCGGGCGGUACGGACCGGUACUGCAAACCAUGGUGUUAGGUGACUUAGCAUACCUAGGACAUUUUAUAUAAAGCUUUUGUAAUCAUCAAUAUUAAUUGGGAAGUUAAUUUGUGGAAUUAUUAAGCGUUACUCGAACGUGGAGAGUUAACCGAACCAUCGGGACAUUUCCAUUGGCAUAGUCGUGCGAACUUGGUAUAUUAUAGUUGUCCAUUAUGUUGGGCCAUGGAGCCAACCUUGAUUCAAGCUUGGGUCUAUUGUCAGUUUAAUCUCGCUAGAUGAUUGGGUUCAAUAGGGGCAUAUGCAAAAUUUAGUCGGGGACAUACCAAACAAAAGUCUUUAAUGCUUAAGUUAGUAAAUCUAGAGAAAUAUAAUGUAGGAUUCAGAGGUUUCAAAGAGCACUACCUAGGGCUUUUUAAUAAGGGUUUUGAUUACCAUCAAAAUUAAGUGGUUUCGCUGGAUUGUUGGGUGUUACUCAGAUGUGAGGAGUCACUCAAACCGUUAAGAGAUAUAUGGCAGCUUCAUGGCUGGAUUUGACCAUAUUAGAGAUACAGGGAGUUUCGUGGCUAGAUUCGAUCGUAUUCGAGAUAGAGAAUAAUUCAUUAUCAUAUUCCAUUACAUCGUUGAUAAAGGAUACUUUAUGGUCAUAUUCGGCCACGUUGGAGAAAUGAUGCUUCAUGUCGAAGUCGAUUGCAUCGAGGGCUCGAGAUGCAUCUUGGCAACAUCAUCUAGCUUUUUUUAUCGUUUUUCUACCACAAGCCACUCCAACUACAAGCUCGACUUACCUUUGUUCUACAAUUGAAAUACGAUUUGCUUUAGUAACAACGUCAUAUUAAUUUUUGAUGAUUUGACAUUUUUGCCCUGAUACUUGAUCUUUUAUGUUUGAUUGGGGCCUUCCAUAUCGUGCACCACUCAAAUUAACGAAAAAGCUAAGGAUAAGGUAGUGAAGGCCUAACAAUGCCUGACCCCUAUAAAAGGGAGCCUUAGUUGUAUCUGUGCUUCCUACUUUACAAAGCCACCAUCUUUGAUACUAAACAAACAGGUGGCUGCAGUCUGUGGGCAAAGGCAUCCAUGGAAGCCACCUUCUUCAUUUUAGUAGCUAUGCUUACAUCCAUGAACUGAGGAAACGCUGCAAGGAAAUGGAGAGGAAGAAGACAGAUGGUGGUGUGGCCACAGAGGAGAAGAGCUCCAAGGGAAGAGUUCAUCCUAGUGACACCCCUUCACCAGUGUGUAGUGAAGAAGGAGGUGAAGGUAAUUGUUGGAGAAGCUCGUUCACCAAAUAAAUCCCCAAAAAAGAAAGAUGAUGAAUUAUUGGGUGUUGAUGGGGGGCUUGUUUUACAUUUAGACAAUGCUAUGUCCACAUGUAUAUAUAUUUUGCCUUCCAAUGUUCCAAGUCUCUUUAGUAGGGAAAUGUGGGAGGAAUAAUCAUCCAAUUGUUUUCUUUUUCUCUACCUGCAUACGACAGAAAUAGAUGUUGCUUUCACUAUUAACAACAUAGUUCAGGUUCAUAGCCA